rnacentral:rRNA from 1 species
GAUGAACGCUGGCGGCGUGCUUAACACAUGCAAGUCGAACGGGAAUUCCUUUAUUGAUACUUCUGACGGUUUAAUUUAAUUCUAGUGGCGGACGGGUGAGUAACGCGUGGGUAUUCUGCCGUAUUCAGGGGGAUAACAGUAAGAAAUGGCUGCUAAUACCGCAUAAGCGCACAGAGCUGCAUGGCUCGGCGUGAGAGACUCCGGUGGGAUAUGAUGGACCCGCGAUGGAUUGGCUUGUUGGGGGGGUAACGGCCCACCACGGAGCCGAUCCAUAGCCGGCAUGAGAGAGAGAACGGCCACAUUGGGACGGAGACACAGCCCAGACUCCUACGCGAGGCAGCAGUGGGGAAUAUUGCACAAUGGGGUAGACCCUGAUGCAGCGACGCCGGGUGAAGGAAGAAGUAGCGCGGUAAGUGAACUUCUAUCAGCAGGGGAGAUAGUGACGGUACCUGACGAAGAAGCCCCGGCUAACUACGUG